AACAACGGAUCUCUUGGUUCCGGCAUCGAUGAAGAACGCAGCGAGGAUGCGAUACGUAAUGUGAAUUGCAGAUUCUAGUGAAUCAUCGAGUCUUUGAACGCACAUUGCGCCCCCUGGUAUUCCGGGGGGCAUGCCUGUCCGAGCGUCAUUGCUGCCCUCAAGCCCGGCUUGUGUGUUGGGCCCCGUCCCCCGAUCUCCGGGGGACGGGCCCGAAAGGCAGCGGCGGCACCGCGUCCGGUCCUCGAGCGUAUGGGGCUUUGUCACCCGCUCUGUAGGCCCGGCCGGCGCUUGCCGAUCAACCCAAAUUUUUAUCCAGGUUGACCUCGGAUCAGGUAG
rnacentral:rRNA from 1 species